rnacentral:rRNA from 1 species
UACGUAGGGAGCGAGCGUUGUCCGGAUUCAUUGGGCGUAAAGAGCUCGUAGGCGGCUUGGCAAGUCGGGUGUGAAAACUCCAGGCUCAACCUGGAGACGCCACCCGAUACUGCCAUGGCUAGAGUCCGGUAGGGGACCACGGAAUUCCUGGUGUAGCGGUGAAAUGCGCAGAUAUCAGGAGGAACACCGGUGGCGAAGGCGGGUCUCUGGGCCGUAACUGACGCUGAGGAGCGAAAGCAUGGGGAGCGAACAGG